UUGUAAGAGAGAAAAACUAUUAUUACAAAAAUAAAAAAAAUCAAAGGGAUCAUCAAGGUCAAUCUAACAAUUUUUUUUUAGUGUUGCGACAAUACUAGUAGAAAGUUCUUAACUACGGCCGAAACCAUUGAUGUCACCGGCCGCCCGAUAAGUGGGCCGGGCGAGCGAGUUCAACCGGGUGCAGCCCAGGCACCCGAAUGAUUCAGGUUUCGUCGAGCCCGAGUCAAGUAAAUUUGGUUCUCUGGUUCGAUUCAACCAGAUGAGAACGACAUCCUCAAAUUCGGACCCGUGCCCUAAAUGCAGCGGUGAAACUGUCUCCUUCUCUACAGCGACCGCGACUGCGACUGCGGCGUUUUCCUUGGCGAAAGGCGGCAGCAGCGGCGGCAUCUUCCUCCGUCGAGCUCUUAUCGCUGCGGCGUUUUCCUCCGAGAACGGUGGAUGCUGCGGCUUCCUCUCCGUCAGCGAACGGUACAGCGCCCGGUAUCUCUCUCUUACUCCUCCUCCUCUUCCUCCUCCAUCGCCGUUGCAGAAUCCCUUCUCCUCCCUCCUCCUGCCUCUUCCCCCAUUCGUCGCAGCUCUCCCGCUUCCCCGACACCAUCCUCCUCCUCCCUUCUCCUUCCUCCUCCCUCUUUCACCCGUUCAUCGCAGCCCCCCGCCCCUCUUCCCCUCCCCCUCGCCCUCCUCCACUUCAUCACAGGCCCCGCCCCCCGUUUUCCUUCUCCGAUCCCAACAGUCCCCUCUCCGUUUUCCUACUCCGCACCCGACAGCCCCCUCUCCAUUAUCUUGCUCCGGCCUCGACAGCCACCAUCUCCCUCCUCUACACCCCUCUUCGCUCUCUCUACACAUCUUCCCCUCCCCUUUCCUUCUCCCUGAUAGUUACCCGCUACCCUCCCAACGAGCAGUCAGCAGCUUAUCAUGAGCAUUUACUUAAAAGAAAUAGAAAGUCACAGUAUGCAUGUUAAGUACUGUUGUUAAGAUAGACAGCAGGAGAAGUGCUGCUUUUAUAAAGAGCAAAGGGAAUUGGGGAGUCUUAGAGAAAAAGAAAAAAACAUGGAAAAGAUAGAACAAGAGAUAGCAGAGACAAUAAUUGGGUCACUGUCCAAAGAAAAUCAUAAUUAUUUCAGUAGAAUCAUGCACAAGUCUGACUAUUCCUCAUGUGAAGCAUUUUAAUUAAAAAUAUACCUAACAUAAUACUAAUCUGACUAGGUUUCCCAAUAGAAGCUCUCUCAACAGCAACUGCUUAUUUUGAUGAAGCGUUUGGUUCAUCAGACCUCUUAGUUUUCUUAUUAUCUUUACUGCAUUGCAGUUUCUUUUUCAAGCACAUCAGAAAAUUUCAACACAAAACCCCAAAUGACACAAGGGACUUGACUCAAUCUAAACUACUAGUUGAGUCAACAACUAGAAUUUGACUUGAUUUCCAAACCCGAAAAUAGACCCAAAAUCUCAAUGUAUUUGGUCAGGUAUAACCUUACACCUUUAUGUCAGCAUAGUGUGUUCUCUGCUGUAGUGCUGAAAGCAACUAUCUCUGCUAAUCGAGACUUGUUAGUACCUCAAAACACACAGGCCUGCUUAUAUUUGAAUUGUCAAAUCUUGUAUUUGCUGGUUUAGUUGGUGAUUUGAAGGGGCCUUUUCCAGUAACAACAGAAAGAGAUUUGAAUGCUCUUACUUUAACUACAGAUAAUUGAUAAGACCCUAAAGGUCUUAUCGUCGCUCUGAUACCAAAUGAUAAGACCCUAAAAUCUUAUCAUGGAAGAAAUGGGAGAAAUGAGGAUGAUAAUGAUCGCUUCGAGGGGAUCGGCCUCCUUGAUCGCUUCGAGGGGAUCGGCCCUCCUUGAACACUUUGAGGGGAUCGGCCCUCCUUGAUCACUUCGAGGGGAUCGACCUCCUAGGGUUUGGGCGCUAGCCGGAGAGCAGCAGCGGCGGGUGGGUUGGCCGGAAGCAGGGGACGCAGGGGUGGCUGCGGCUUCUUCUUCCUCUCGUGUUUCUUCUUUUCUUCUUUUUUUUUUUUUUUUUUUUUUGAUCGAGAUGGGGCAGCGAGGAGGUCGAGCGGUGGUCGAAGGUCGCUGGCCGGGGAGAAGCAGCGACAACGGUGAAGAAAGAGUUGCCUUGUAGUGGUGGUGGGGAAGAAGGGAAGCAAGACUGCGGCGGGCUGCGCCAAGGAUCGUGGCUCUGAUACCAAAUGAUAAGACCCUAAAGGUCUUAUCGUCGCUCUGAUACCAAAUGAUAAGACCCUAAAAUCUUAUCGUGGAAGAAAGGGGAGAAAUGAGGAUGAUAAUGAUCGCUUCGAGGGGAUCGGCCUCCUUGAUCGCUUCGAGGGGAUUGGCCCUCCUUGAUCUCUUCGAGGGGAUCGACCCUCCUUGAUCACUUCGAGGGGAUCGACCUCCUAGGGUUUGUCCAAAGACAGAAUAAUAUUUUUCAUAGAUUACUGAAAAGAAGCAGUUACAUCCCUAUUUAUAGAGUUCCACCCAGAGUCCAUCAGGACUUGAACACUAAUAAUAAAUAAAUAUUAGAUAAACCUCUACUUGACUCUAACUGAACCAAACCGACUCAAUAAACAAAUGGACUAAACAGACUCAAUAAACAUUAUUCAAAAGCUCAGAAAAAGGGUCCUAACAAUAAUUUCUUACACAGAGUUCAAUGAUGCAGAAGAUCCAUAUGGCUGAUCAUGAAUAGUUUGGACAUCAUGGCUUUUGUUAUUAUCGUGGUUGCUUGCCCUUGCCUCUUUUAUUGGCAAAUUAUCACUGAUCUAGGUUUUUUUUCUUCAUUAAUUAUAUGUAGCUGACGCCGCAUAUAAUUUUUUUUACUGUAGUUGAAGUUAUUUACAUGAGCAAUCUUUCUCAUAAAUUAAGUUCUUUUAUCAGCAUAGAACCAAAUGAACUAGUAGCAUUACUUGAUUGAGGCAGUUUUCUUAUCUCUGUAUUCAUUUUUCAGAAAAUUUAUUGCCUUUCUCUGGUCUUCCAGCUAUGUUGUUUUUUUUUGUCAAGUUGCUCAUCAUCAUCAACAAUGCCUUUUUUAGCAUGUUGAACCUCACAAUUUACUGUUGUUAAUUAAUUCAACAGUGUCUUUUCUACUUACCAGUCUUGCAAGACUUAUAACUAGAUCAUCUCUCUACAUUCUUGAUGAAAAGGAUAAAUUAUUCUGGAAUUGCUCAUUUGAAAUGUUCCAGGUUUUAGUUAUAGGACAUUACUGAAUCUGAUUGUAGAGAAAACAUUAUGCAUCUUCCUGUUAUUCUGAAUUCUGUAGUACCAUUUGGAAGUCAUUGAUGUUCAACCGAGAAGUAUAAACAUGAGUAUCGUCUGUAUACGAUCAACAUGGGAUAUGGGAUGCUUGGUAGUGUCUAAACCCACCAACUACAAUGGAAAAAUAAGUGGAAUAUUGUGUCUGUGCGCUGGUGUUGUCUGAUGCCAUUAUUUCAGUGGUGGAGAAUUGCUCGGAUAUGAGCAUGAUAAUAAGUAACUAAUCAUAGGUACUCUUUAUCAACUCUCAAACACCAUUUAGAGACUUAUCUCUGAAAGAAAUGGCUGAUUGGAACUAAAUGCAUGUGGAUUAACAUGAUUGGUAAAGGAAUGUUGUCUGAGACAGAUGAUUAGUCGAAAGUUUUCAACAUCCUUGAUUUGAGGUAGAAGAGGAAUUUGGACUUGGAGAGGGCAUAAACAAGACUACUUUUCUUGUAUUUUUCUGCAAACAGUGCGGGAUACUGCCUCAAAAGACUAAUGUUUUCGGUCCAGCAGAGGCUCUUUUGCCUUCUCUCUUGUAACAAGUCCAACAUCCAUCUUUCCUCCUAUCAACUCUGCAGUCUGUUUAGCUUUUCCACUGCCAAAGAGCACAGUUCAAAUCAUAGAUCCAACUUUACAUUGGUCGACCCCCUUGAGUCAUGUGAACUUUCCUCAAAAGAGGCUGCAAAAACGGCUGAUGAUCGCAUCUGUGAAAAAAAACUUUCAAGUUCAAGUCCUUCUAUUGAGUUCUUUAAGCAGAGUGGUUGGAGUGAUGCACAAGUCAUGAAGCUUAUGCAGAGGGAACCCGGGUUUCUACGUGCUAAUGUAGAGACUAUCCUGAAGCCUAGGAUGAGAUCUUUGCAGGACAUGGGAUUUUCUGACACUGAAAUAGUUCAGCUGGUUUCAUCAUGUCCAAGGGUGCUCCUUCUACGUGACAUCCAACUGAGGAUCAACUUCUGGAGGUCACUUCUUGGUUCUAAUGAGUGGUUAAUUAAAGCCUUCAGGAGGAGCAUGUUUCUCCUUACUUCUAGCUUGGCUCGAAAGAUUGAGCCCAAUAUAUCUCUCUUGAGGGAAUGUGGCAUUAGUGAACAACGCAUUGCGCAGAUGGUGGUGAAACUACCAAGAUUUUUAUGUCGAACAGAAAAAUGUAUCAAGGAAUUUAUCGAACACGUUGAGGAGUUGGGUGUGUCACGUGACUGUAAAAUCUUCCCUCGUGCACUAUUAUCAGUCAUGACCCUGAGCAGGUCCAGGUUCGAUGCUACCUUUGCAACCCUGAUGAGCUUUGGGUGGUCCCAACCAGACAGCAUUGCUGCAUUCAGGAGGCAUCCAGUCAUUUGGAAUCUCUCAAAGAAGAACUUAUGUGAUAAGAUGACAUUCCUGAUGAACGAAGCUGGUUGUGAGCUGACAUAUAUCAUUUAUCAUCCUGUGCUUCUUACAUAUAGCUUGGAGAAGAGGUUGAGACCUCGAUAUGAAGUUAUGAAUUUUCUUGAUCAGAAUAAAUUGCUGGAUAAAGGAUAUAACCUGCAAUAUGUCGUGAAGCUAUCUGAAGAGAAGUUCAUAAACAAAUUCCUUUUCCUGCUACGCAAGGAGAAUUUUAUUGCUCAAUAUGAUUCCUAUGUCGUUGCUGUGCAGGGAAAGCACGACGUUGUUGUGGAAAACUAGGAUUGCAAGUGCUUCCUUAAGACAAAGUGUCAACCUAUUGCAUGCUGACUGCAAGUUAAUCACUUUUUAUUUGUGACCAUUUAAAUUCUGCAGGAGUUUCUUUGAGUAUAA